CAUUUGAAGGUUUCUGUAUAGGAAUAAGACUUCCCUUACCAUUUGAAGGUUUUUGUAUAGGACUCCUCUUACCAUUUGAAGGUUUCUGUAUAGAACCCCCUUACCAUUUGAAGGUUUCUGUAUAGGACUCCUCUUACCAUUUGAAGGUUUUUGUAUAGAACCCCCUUACCAUUUAAAGGUUUCUGUAUAGGACUACCCUUACCAUUUGAAGGUUUCUGUAUAGGACUACCCUUACCAUUUGAAGGUUUCUGUAUAGGAAUAAGACUUCCCUUACCAUUUGAAGGUUUUUGUAUAGGACCCCUCUUACCAUUUGAAGGUUUCUGUAUGGGACUCCUCUUACCAUUUGAAGGUUUCUGUAUAGAACCCCCUUACCAUUUGAAGGUUUCUGUAUAGGACUCCCCUUUACAUUU